UCAAAUAGAAACAUUGUGUGCCUUGAUAG
rnacentral:piRNA from 1 species